CGGCGAAAUAUUUUGCUUUUCCACAUCAUUGUUGCAUACAAAGUUGUUAACUUCUAAUGAAUUGUUGAUGUUUGGUCUAGAAUUAUUAUUAAUAAGUGUUUGGUAUUCUAUUAGAGAGCCUGAAAAGAAUAUAUCAUGAUUGUUAAGGUGCACAAUUUGGAUGUUAGUUAAGCUAUUCUCUGGUUGAUUGUUGAUGAAAUAUAAGAGAGUAGUAAGGUCAAUUGAGAGAAUGGUUCUAGAGUAUGGGCUAUUAAGGAAACCCUUAUGUCCAAAGAGCCUGGAAAAUAUUUUGGAGCCUACAUUUGGGUCAAGGUUGAGAAAAAUGUCAUCAAAUAGGAAAAUGGCAGCUUCACUCUGAUGGUAGAGGCAUCUCGCUAGGGCUACUCUUGUUUUUUGUCCUCCACUAAGGGAUGUGCCUCCUUCAUCAAUGACCCUGAGAUCACCAUCCUUCCAAGAUUGAAAAUCAUGUUGCAAUUGACAAAUGCCUGUAACCAGCAUGUAGAGUUCUUCAUUCCAAGGUUUUCCAAAUAAUAUUGCAGAUCUGACAGUGCCUUGAGGAAUCCAAGAUGUUUGGCUUGAGUAAGCGUAACAAAGGUCAUUAUCUUUGCAUUCAAGAAUUGAGUUAAUGACGGAAGUUUUGCCACAUCCUGAUGAUCCAGUGAAAAUAACACAUUUUCCUAGAGUAUUGAGAGAAUUCUCUGGAUUGCAUAGGUGUGACUUAAUAAUUCGGUGGCAUUCAUAAAUGAAGGAAUUAUUUGAAUUAUUUAAGUACUGGUCAUCUAUAGAAAUACCAUCAGAAGACUUGCAAAACUGCUUAAAACACAUAACUUUAUUGGAAUAUUUGCUUACUUCCUCUUGAGCUGGAUUCUUUAAAUUUGAAAAGUCAAUUGCUCCAGUAAAUUCACAAUCAGUACUAGUAUCAUCAUCUUCUGAAAAAUAUUCAAAAUAAUUAUCAGGAUGAGAAGAAAUAAAAGUACGAAUUCUCAAAAGUGAAAUGAGGCCUUCAAUAAAAGUUACAGGAAUUCCCCUAAGUGGUGAUGCAAGGGAAUGGAGUAUAUGUAUUGAAGCAAGAGCUGCUGGUAGGUUCAAAGAUGUUCCAAUAAAAAGGUAGAAAAUAAUGAAUACAAUCAAUUGAGUAGCUCUUUGAGUAUGGUAUUCAAGAAAGCUUCCAAACUGAGUCCUAACAAGGCGCUUACGGUUUAAUGCUGUUUCAAUAUUUCUACUCUUCAUAAUUUUAUCAAAAGCCAGAUCUUCAGCUCCCAUUAUUCUAAUAACUCGAAGAAUCCCAAGAAUAUCAUGGCAAACCGAUAGUCUUUGAUCUCUAUACUCCAUAAAUGGUGCCUUAUAUACAGUUCCAAGUACUUGAAAUCCAAAGCUUGAAAUAAAGAAGAACAAAAAUGUUAUAAUACCAGGUAAAGCUGCUAUGAGUCCAACCUGCUUUGAAAGUAACUUCCAGGUUAUCCAAAUAUUCACUGGAAGAAGAAUACAGUCUAUCAAGGAAUUCAAAAAUAGCUGUACUGCUGAUAUAUCGCCAACUAACAUACUGAAUACAUCUGGAUCUGCAAGAAGGUAUCUAAUUGAUUUACUAUAGGUUAUUUUCUCAAGCUCAUUUCUUCCUCUUGAAGAGUCUAAGAAUUUUUUAAAAGCUAUGAAUCCAUUACUAUUCGAUGAUGAAUCUUCAUCUCCCUCAAUUUCAAGCCGGAUCUUACUAGGAAUCUCAUGUAAAUCAACACUUACAGCGUUUUCAUUGUGCUUUUGCUCUCUUGACUUUUCGGAUCCACGUCCAGAUAAAAGUCUAUAAAAGAUGAUCCCCGUCAGGCCUGACUCAAGCCUCAUUGUCACUCUCGCAAGGUAAAGCCUUGCAUGUGCAUCAAUUACUGACCUUAUUAAAUAAGCUGAGACAAGAAAUAUACAGGAAUUCAAGGCUCUAAUACUUUUGUUAUUUGAGACUGUUUGAGUGAAAACUAUCGAGCAUAGACUACAAGAAAAUAAGAAAAUAAGCUUCAAAAAUAGAACAUUUACAAUUGAUCUUCCAUAUACUUGCAAUAAUGGAAGCCAGAAAUGGUUUCUAUUUUUUGAAAAUGAUUCUCUUAAUCUAUAUAUCCAAAUUAAAGGUGAGUCUCCAUGAAAAAGUAAAGGAUAUCCAGGAUUUGAAUUUCCAUUAGUGAUAUAUCUACUCCAUUGUGAAAGCCAUAACAACUGGAAAAAGCUUGACAUUAAUUCCAAAUAUUCAAAUUUUAUAAUAUAUUCUCAAAUUAAUAUUUAAUCAGUUAAGUCUUAAAACUUAACUUCACUCAAGAAUUAAUUAUAUUCAAUUGGUCAAAUUAUUCCAAAACUGGAUAAAAGUUUAAACAGGU
rnacentral:antisense_RNA from 1 species